CCUUUUUCUGUUGGUUUUCUCCAGGCAGUCUGGACUAAGACAAGCACAGGCCAUGGCAGCUGUGCAGAUGAAGGCUGACUGCAAGAUACAGCAUACCUAAAUUUGGACCAGCCACACAUUUGAAGUGCUCAAUACUCACAUUUAGCUGAUGGCUACCAUAUUGGACAAAACAGAUUUAGAGCAUCUUGAAAUGAAUUAAAUUUGGAACAAAUGCUAUACAGUCUUUUCAUCUGUAACUCAGCUGUGAAAAUAGCAAUAUCUCACAAUUGAGUAUAAAUUUUUAGACAAGAGGUGGAAAAUGACUGGUAUUUGUAUUGUUACUGCCACUCAACUUUUUACUGUAACAACAGCAGAUGUUACUCCUAGAUCUCAACACAUUUUCCUACUAAGUCUGCAGGCAGCCAUUGUGAAAGAAUUGAAUCUGCCAUAUAAGCUAACACAAGAAGACUAUGAUUUGGAAGUUGCAAUGGAGAUAUUAGAAGAAACACCUAGAUACUUCACUAGAAGUGCUGCAAAAAUGACAGCAUAAAUUGUGCAGUUUCACAACCCUCCAACUCGCCCCCACCGCAAAAAAAAACUACAAGCAUUUAAUGGCCUUAUGAGUAUGUAUGUGACAUGUGUAUUUUAUUAGAGGCAUUUCUCAGUUUCCCUCAUCCAAGCUGUUAAGAUCGUAUAAGACUAAGUCAAAGCUGAUCCUCCUUCUAAACCCGCCUCUCCCCACAGCCCAAAAUGUGCACUCUGUGAUCAUAAUUGCCCUGGAAAACGGAAGCUUGAGCUCUCCGAGCAUCCGUAUUCAUGAGAGCAGCACUUUUGUACUUUGCAAGACCAGAAUAGGCUCCCCACCUGUAUUGGUGACCCAUUUAACCGGACUGAUGUUACUGCUUUGUCAAACUUAUUGGGCAUGAAAAUAAA